GUGUAAUGAACGUCAUGUUAUUAUAACAAAAAUAACUUUCAACAACGGAUCUCUUGGCUCUCGCAUCGAUGAAGAACGCAGCGAAAUGCGAUAAGUAAUGUGAAUUGCAGAAUUCAGUGAAUCAUCGAAUCUUUGAACGCAACUUGCGCUCUCUGGUAUUCCGGAGAGCAUGCCUGUUUGAGUAUCAUGAAAUCUCAACCAUUAGGGUUUCUUAAUGGCUUGGAAUUGGGUGUUGCCAGUCCCCUGGCUCGCCUUAAAAGAGUUAGCGUGUUUAACUUGUCUAUCUGGCGUAAUAAGUUUCGCUGGUGUCGGCUUGAGAAGUACGCUUCUAAUCGUCUUCGGACAAUUCUUGAACUCUGGUCUCAAAUCAGGUAGGGCUACCCGCUGAACUUAAGCAUAUCAAUAAGCGGAGGAAAAGAAACUAACAAGGAUUCCCUUAGUAACGGCGAGUGAACCGGGAAAAGCUCAAAUUUGUAAUCUGGCUGUCUUCGAUAGUCCGAGUUGUAAUCUAUAGACGUG
rnacentral:rRNA from 1 species